CAUUUUUAGCUGCAGGAGCAUCCCCAUAGCCACUCAGAGGAUGGUGGAUAUGGAUGUGGUAUCGGAGGAGUGCCUGGCUAGUCCCUAUGCCCCAUGCAUGGGCAAACUUCAGCCCUCCAGGUGUUUUGAACUCCGACUCCCAGAAAUCUCCCAGGACCUUCUCAGUGGUGGCUCCCUGUCUAUGGACCCCCCUCCCCAGUGAAAUCAGAUGGAUAGCUGGGCCACAAAACAGCGCCCCAGCAAAAAGAAGGGCCAUAACACUUUGGAACUCCAAUUGAAGAAGAUGCGUCUCAAAAUAAAACUCAUCAUGAUCAGAUACUACUAUAAAGAUAGGGAGAAGAAAAGGCAACACAAAGAGAAUAUGGAAGAGAUGCGCUUGCUGGCCAAAGCAACACAGCCUUCUGGGAGAGGUGAUCACCUCCUCAUGCUUCAGGAUCAUCUUACCUUGUUCCUCUACUGCUUCAUCUUCAUCCACAUCAUCUAUAUAGUGAAAGCACUGGUGUUCUUUUUCAUUAAGAAGCAUGUUGGCCAUUAAGAAGCAUGUUUGCCUCAUAUAUGCUUAUUAAAGCAUUAUUGAAGUAGA